AUUGAACGCUAGCGGGAUGCCUUACACAUGCAAGUCGAACGGCAGCACGGACUUCGGUCUGGUGGCGAGUGGCGAACGGGUGAGUAAUGUAUCGGAACGUGCCCAGUAGCGGGGGAUAACUACGCGAAAGCGUAGCUAAUACCGCAUACGCCCUACGGGGGAAAGCAGGGGAUCGCAAGACCUUGCACUAUUGGAGCGGCCGAUAUCGGAUUAGCUAGUUGGUGGGGUAACGGCUCACCAAGGCGACGAUCCGUAGCUGGUUUGAGAGGACGACCAGCCACACUGGGACUGAGACACGGCCCAGACUCCUACGGGAGGCAGCAGUGGGGAAUUUUGGACAAUGGGGGAAACCCUGAUCCAGCCAUCCCGCGUGUGCGAUGAAGGCCUUCGGGUUGUAAAGCACUUUUGGCAGGAAAGAAACGUCAUGGGCUAAUACCCCGUGAAACUGACGGUACCUGCAGAAUAAGCACGCUA
rnacentral:rRNA from 1 species